rnacentral:rRNA from 1 species
GACGAACGCUGGCGGCGUGCCUAAUACAUGCAAGUAGAACGCACAGUUUAUACCGUAGCUUGCUACACCAUAAACUGUGAGUUGCGAACGGGUGAGUAACGCGUAGGUAACCUGCCUGGUAGCGGGGGAUAACUAUUGGAAACGAUAGCUAAUACCGCAUAAUAUUGAUUAUUGCAUGAUAAUUGAUUGAAAGAUGCUAUUGCAUCACUACCAGAUGGACCUGCGUUGUAUUAGCUAGUAGGUGAGGUAACGGCUCACCUAGGCGACGAUACAUAGCCGACCUGAGAGGGUGAUCGGCCACACUGGGACUGAGACACGGCCCAGUCUCCUACGGGAGGCAGCAGUAGGGAAUCUUCGGCAAUGGACGAAAGUCUGACCGAGCAACGCCGCGUGAGUGAAGAAGGUUUUCGGAUCGUAAAGCUCUGUUGUAAGAGAAGAACGGGUGUGAGAGUGGAAAGUUCACACUGUGACGGUAUCUUACCAGAAAGGGACGGCUAACUACGUG